UCUAUUCACUUUUACUUAAGGUAGCACAAUACAAAGAUUUUAUAACUCCAACUCCCAAGUUUUAAAAUGCUAUAACUUUCUUAAUAAUGCUUGAAAAUUUAUAAAAGUGGUAGUUUUGGAUAGCUAACAGAUCACUCUUUCAAAUAAAUGCAAUGUUAGUAUUAUGCAACAAUCAUGUAACCAAUUAUAAUGUUAACUGUGUCUAAAUUAUUUUUCACCAAAUUUCCACUUUCAAAUGA
rnacentral:lncRNA from 1 species